CUCCCAACGCCCAGCCCGUGUCGCUCCCUCCGGGUCUCGGUGCCUGUGUCUGUCCGGCUGCCCAGCGGGGAGAUGAAAUUCCUGCUCCCGUCUCUCCUGCUCUGUGCCCUGGCGGCAGGUGGCCGCUCCCAGGUGACACUGCGGCAGCCCGGAGCCGCCCAGGUGAAGCCUUCGCAGACCCUGAGCCUCACCUGCUCCGUGUCCGGAUUCUCUCUCACCACUAGCGGGAUUAGAAUGAACUGGAUCCGACAGCUGCCGGGGAAAGGCCUGGAGUGGCUGUGUCUGGUGUACUGGGAUGAUGACAAGCGCUACACGGAGUCCUUGAAAAGUCGCUUGAGCAUCUCCCGGGACACGUCCAAGGGCGAGGUGUAUUUGGAAAUGAGAAACCUGGAAGCCGGAGACAGCGGCACCUAUUACUGCGCCAGGAGACACAGUGUCCUCGCUCAGGUGAGGCUGGUCCAGUCUGGCCCAGGGCAAGUAAAGCCCGGAGAGACCCUCACCCUGACAUGCGCUGUCUCUGGUUAUUCCAUCGCUAGCGGUAAAGAGUGGGUCUGGGUACGGCAGCCACCCGGGAAAAAGUUGGAGUGGAUGGGGUAG